GGAAGGGGUGUAUUUAUUAGAUUAAAAACCAAUCGAGGCAACUCGUUUACUGGUGAAUCAUGAUAACUAUUCGAAUCGCAUAGCUUUGCUGGCGAUGGUUCAAUCAAAUUUCUGCCCUAUCAACUUUCGAUGGUAGUAUAGAGGACUACCAUGGUACAACGGGUAACGGAGAAUUAGGGUUCGAUUCCGGAGAGGGAGCCUGAGAAACGGCUACCACAUCCAAGGAAGGCAGCAGGCGCGCAAAUUACCCAAUCCCGAUACGGGGAGGUAGUGACAAUAAAUAACAAUACAGAGCUUUUUAAGUUUUGUAAUUGUAAUGAGAACAAUUUAAACCUCUUAACGAGAACCAAUUGGAGGGCAAGUCUGGUGCCAGCAGCCGCGGUAAUUCCAGCUCCAAUAGCGUAUAUUAAAGUUGUUGCAGUUAAAACGCUCGUAGUUGGACUUUGGCCUUGGCUGGGCGGUCUUUGCGAAUGCAUAGUACUUCUCUGGCUGAGGCUUUCCUUCUGGCGAACUAUUGUGCUAUUUAUUUAGUGCGAUAGGGAACCAGGACUUUUAC
rnacentral:rRNA from 1 species